UACGAAGGGUGCAAGCGUUAAUCGGAAUUACUGGGCGUAAAGCGUGCGUAGGCGGUUUGUUAAGUCUGUUGUGAAAUCCCCGGGCUCAACCUGGGAAUGGCAAUGGAUACUGGCAAGCUAGAGUGUGUCAGAGGAUGGUGGAAUUCCCGGUGUAGCGGUGAAAUGCGUAGAUAUCUGGAGGAACACCGGUGGCGAAGGCGGCAUCCUGGACCGGCAUUGACGCUGGAGGAGCGAAAGCCAGGGGAGCAAACGGG
rnacentral:rRNA from 1 species